GCCUCUGUGGAUCAAGGUAGAUCGCCUCAGAAAAAUUCAGUCGGAUGUCCAUCUAUUUGAGUAGCAGUGGGUUCGAAUCCCACCAGAGGCA